rnacentral:rRNA from 1 species
AGUGAACGCUGGCGGUAGGCCUAACACAUGCAAGUCGAACGGCAGCACAGUAAGAGCUUGCUCUUACGGGUGGCGAGUGGCGGACGGGUGAGGAAUACAUCGGAAUCUACUUUUUCGUGGGGGAUAACGUAGGGAAACUUACGCUAAUACCGCAUACGACCUACGGGUGAAAGCGGGGGAUCUUCGGACCUUGCGCGAUUGAAUGAGCCGAUGUCGGAUUAGCUAGUUGGCGGGGUAAAGGCCCACCAAGGCGACGAUCCGUAGCUGGUCUGAGAGGAUGAUCAGCCACACUGGAACUGAGACACGGUCCAGACUCCUACGGGAGGCAGCAGUGGGGAAUAUUGGACAAUGGGCGCAAGCCUGAUCCAGCCAUACCGCGUGGGUGAAGAAGGCCCUCGGGUUGUAAAGCCCUUUUGUUGGGAAAGAAAAGCAGCAGGUUAAUACCCCGCUGUUCUGACGGUACCCAAAGAAUAAGCACCGGCUAACUUCGUG